GAAGAAAAGAAGAGAAGAGAAGCUUUAUUUCGAGAAUCAUCUGCACGUAGCUAACGGAGCAAUGGUGUCUCAACGUCAUGGUGGUGGUGCUGUUGUUGGAUUCGUUCGCUUGGACGAGCUUAGCUUGGAGAUGGCAGCUGCACUUGUUCGGUCUGGUUACAAGGUCCAGGCUUUUGAGAUAGAAGGAGCUCUGGUGGAUGAGUUUUCAAAUCUGGGGGGAGUUAAAUGUGCCAGCCCACAUGAGGUUGGGAAAGAUGUUGUAGCUUUGGUUANCUCAUGUUGAUCAAAUCAAUGAUGUAAUAUUUGGUCAACAGGGUGCUUUGAAAGGGUUGCAGAAAGGGGCAGUCAUCAUCCUACGCUCAACUAUCUUGCCAUCACACAUACAAACUCUAGAGAAACGUCUCAGGGAGGAUGGCGUGCCAGCUUAUUUAGUAGAUGCACAUGUCUCCAGGGGAAUGUCUGAGGUUUUAGAUGGAAGAAUCAUGAUUAGUUCCUCAGGGACAUCUGAAGCCAUUGCAAGGGCGCGUCCUAUUCUCUCUGUAAUGUGUGAAAAGCUGUACACUUUUGAGGGUGAAGUUGGUGCUGGAAGUAAAAUUAAAAUGGUCAAUGAGCUGCUUGAGGGCAUUCAUCUUGUCGCUUCAGUGGAGGCUAUUUCUCUUGGUUCUCAAGCUGCAACUAAUCCAUGGAUGGUCUAUGACAUAAUAUCCAAUGCUGCUGGAAAUUCAUGGGUUUUCAAGAAUCAUAUACCUCAGUUGUUGAGAGGGGAUGCCAAGCCCCAUUCCCUUAAUAUUUUGGUCCAGAAAUUGGUAAGAUAUAUUGUGGUGAUACAUGUUCUAAGUGAUGUUGGCAUUCGGUGCCUUUUUAAUGUAUUGCAUAUUUGCAUUGAAUUAAUCAAUAUGUCCUGAAAUGUUGAGAACC
rnacentral:misc_RNA from 1 species